UUUUAUUUUGGUCUGUUGGUAUGACGUCAUAAGUCUGCGCUGCAUGUUGUGAUUCGGCUGAAGAAGAAAGGACGAACACACAGAAAAACUCCUGGUGAAGAUCCACGUGACACUAUUAUAAAGAUGGCGUAUAUUGAAGAGGAGAGUGAAGACUUCAAGAUUGAAGAAACAUUCAGUGUGAAACAAGAAGAAAAUGAGGAACACAAAGGACAAACACAGAAAAACUCCAGGG